CGUACGAUCACCGAAGUUAAACAGCGUAGAGCCAGGUCAGUACUUAGAUGGGGGACCGCUUGGAAACACCUGGUACUGUAAG